AUUGAACGCUGGCGGCAGGCCUAACACAUGCAAGUCGAACGAGUGGCGGACGGGUGAGUAAUGUCUGGGAAACUGCCUGAUGGAGGGGGAUAACUACUGGAAACGGUAGCUAAUACCGCAUACCAUCAGAUGUGCCCAGAUGGGAUUAGCUUGUUGGUGGGGUAACGGCUCACCAAGGCGACGAUCCCUAGCUGGUCUGAGAGGAUGACCUGCCACACUGGAAGUGAGACACGGUCCAGACUCCAACGGGAGGCAGCAGUGGGGAAGAGUGAACAAUGGGCUCAAGCCUGAUGCAGCAAUGCCGCGUGUAUGAAGAGGGCCUGCGGGUUGUAAAUUAAUUUCAGCGGGGAGGCUUUACCCGCAGAAGAAGCACCGGCUAACUCCGGGCCAGCAGCCGCGUUAAUAC
rnacentral:rRNA from 1 species